UAAUGACUUUGGAUUUUCUCG
ensembl:piRNA 21ur-134 ncRNA